rnacentral:ribozyme from 1 species
AAAAAAAAAAAAAAAAGAAAGAAAGAAAAAAACUACUUCCACUUUCCAACUUCAUUCUUCGCCUCUCUCUGAAGUUCUUUCUGCCCUUUUUCUU